UGGAGCAGACCACUGCAUCAGUUGAGAUAGGAGACACGAUUUCUUCUGGCGAAGGUAACACUGGAGAUCUUGUAUUCAAAGCUGUGGAAUCAUGAGCCCACAACCCAUAUGAUCGUAGGAAGGUUUCAUUUGAAAGGGGAAACACCGUACCAUUUUCUAACUCGCUAUCAAUGGAUAAACUGAUGCUACCACUUUCAUUAUGCCUCUUGCUAUGAAGAGCCCUGUCACCAAUAUCACCUGCCUCUGACACGUUUUCACUCUCAAUAUCAUCAUCUACCUGGAAGGAUCUGCUGCGUGAUAAACUUAAAGAACGUCUUCUCACUGAAGAGGCUACAUUGCUAGUCUGACGAAAUGAUUCACUCAGAUUGGGUUCAGACUCAUUCGUUCCACGAUCCAUAACUUAGACUCAGAUAACAGUACUCAAUAAAUUAAAUCAGCAAAAGUCAAUCAACCACUGCCCUUGUACUUGUGAAUUAUAUAGAACUCUUCAUUUCAUAUAUUGAUAUCCAACUCCCGAGUCAAUCCAAAAACAGAUGCAAUGAUUGCAACAACACCAGAUAAAUGAAAAUGAAAGAGGAGGAAAGGAGUUCAUCAACAAGAAUAAGAAAUACUGUGUUUUAGUCACGGGGCAAAGCUAAUCUCAAGACCGACCAGCAGCCAGCAGUUUAGGUGAUUUCUCAGAACACACCGUGGACCAUCCAAAUUAGCAUCAAGUGGUCACCGCUUUCUAUGUUCCGUCCAAAUAGAACCGUGACUGAAUUGUCCAUAGAGGCUAAGCAAUGUUUUCAGAGUCCAUUAUUAAUCCAGUCAAUUGUUCCGUGCAAGCAUAAAAAGAAGAAGAAGCAGAGCACUGGUUUGGCUGCAAAAUAAAUAACUUUUUACUAACUUGAAGCGCAGCUACGGCAUAUUCAAAUGGCAGCAUAAUAAUAAAAUAAAAUAAAAUAAAAAAACUAAAUAAUAAUAAAAUAGCUACUUUCCAAAUCCCAAAAGAGAAGAGAGAGGGGGUUGUGACUUUAUUAGUAGCAGCCACACGGGCUUUUCAAUAAUUGAAGUGGGCUGUUCUUCUGUUAGCAUCAACAUAUAUAUAUAUAAUAAUAAUACCUAACCACCACUCUGUUCAAUCUGAUUGGACUCAGCUUAAGUUCUAAACAGUAAAUGAGUUUUUGCAAAUAAUUUAUCCCCAAAAAGAACAGCUUGCUUUCUUUCAAGGGCCUUUUUGACAUUAAAGUAAACUAGAGAUUAGCCAGCCAAGAAAAGCAAUUGUGAAAUCAAAUCACGAGAGAAAGCUAACUUUAUUAGACCAUUCAUUUCAAUCCAAAUGGAACAGCAAAAGGCAAAAAAGAAACACAGGGAAAGUUGAGAAGUGUCACCUUGUGGAGAAAGAGACGGGUGAGAGCUGAGAAAAGGAAACGCUGCUGCUUCAGGAGGGACGAGGGUAAAAGUGUCCUUCGGGCUUUCUUGGAUUUACCAAGUGUAUGAAUUAAUUCAAACACGCACGGAAGAGUUGGAUCAAAAGCGAAUUCAUUGAUGGCCGUUGAAACAAACUAUCAGCCCUUCGUUUAUUUGAGGCCUCUGCGGCGAUGAGAUAGCGAAAGAGGAGAAAAACGAUAGCUAUGGCGGUGCAACAACUGGAACCCUUCGUUUAUUUAAGGCCUUGGGGCACACUAUCUCUGACUUUUCUUCCUUUUUUUUCAUCAUGCAAUUCAUUAUUUAUUUUCCGGCAAUGGUAACAGUGACAUCUUCAAGAGCUCAUUGUUCUAGGAUACAACACGUGAACUCCGAGCCGAUUUAUUAAAUUAAGUUACUCCUCUCUUUUUUUUAGAAAUACUAGAUCAUUCGGUAGGAUUAGUUUUUUUCACGUAAAAAAAUAACUAAAUAUUGCUCAUAUAUUUUUUAAUAAAAACAUUUAAACCGUGUAAAAAUUAAUUUAAAAUGACUCCAUUACUUUGAUAGAUAAAAAAUAAUCUAGAUAAUCAAUAAAAAUAUAAUUUAAUUCAAAAUUAAUAAAAAUUUAAGAUAAGAUUUUUUAAUAAAUAUUAAAACAAUAAUAUAUUAAAUCGAUUCGAGUUAAUUUGGGUUAAUUUAAUCUAGAGAUCAUAAUAACUUAAUAGAAAAAAAAAUUACAAAAAUUGAUUUCCAAUAAAUACAAUGUUGAAGGAUAUAAAAGUAAAAUUGUUUUUUAAAAACACUAAAAAAAAUAGCUUUAGUCAAAUCGGGUUAACCUGUUAAACUCGUAACUUAGAUUAUGAGACCAUAAUAACCUAAUAAAAAGUAAAUUAAAAUAAAGUAUAAAACUCAAUUCUCAAUUAUCUUAAUGUUGAAAGAUAAAAUAAAAUAAAAACACAAAAAAUAAAUUAAGUCAACUAGAAUUAAUCUGCCAAACCUGUAAUCCAAGUCAUGAAAUGUGGAUAAACCUCAUAAAAACAGACAAAAAAAAACUCUUGGAUUCUAAUUCCAAAUGAACCCAAAGUUAAAAGAUGAAAUUGAAAGGGAAAAAAUCAAUUAGAAAAAUGAAAAAAAAAAAUCCUAUUAAACUUGCAAUCAAGAUAAUAAUUUUAAGAUAAUUUCAUAAAAAAAAUUGAAAAAAAUUAUAAAGUACAAUCUUGAAAGAUUGAAUUAAAAAUGAAAUAUAUAUAUAUAUAUAUAAAAUAUUAUUUUGUAAAUAGUGUUGUGUGAGAUGGUUACAGUAAAAGCUUCGAGUGUGUUUGGUAUUGCGGUAGCUGUUGUGGUUGUGGUUUGAAAAAAAUUGUUUUGUAAAAAGUACUUUUAGUUGAGGUUGGUUUGAAAAAAUAGAUGUUUGGUUAAAACUGUGGUUAAAAUUGAGGUCGAAGAAAAAAUAGUUUUAAUGUGUUUGGUUAAGAAUGCUUUUGAAAUUGAGGUUAUAAAAUAAUUUUAAAAAAUAUAUAUUAAUAUUGAUGGUUUUUAAUUUAAAUUUUAUGGAUUUAACUAUUUCUAUUACAUAAUGAAAUAAAUCACACUUAAAAAAAUUACUUUAACAAAAAAUUAUCUACAAUUCCAUUACGUACAAAAUUCAUCGGACAAGAACUACAAAAUUAGAUAAAAUAUUAUCAAGAAUAAAAUUAAGAUUACACUACAAGUAAAUUUAAUUCACCUUAAACUAAUUUAAAAAAAAAACAAAAAAAAAAUUGUUGUUCACGUUAAUAGCACGAGUGAAAUCAAUAAACUACGUUGGUAAAAAAAAAAAUAUACCUGUUCAGCGAACAGUGGAGGCAUGCUCCACUGUUCACUGAACAGUGCAUACCUCCACUGUUUCAAAAAAAAACUGAACAGUGGAGUUGCCAUUCAAAAAGCAGCCAUUUGCUGCUUUUAAUUUUCCUGCUGCCAGAACACAAUAAAUUAAGGGACUCACGCACAGUAAACAACUUUUUUUAUUUAACCAAACACUCAGUCAUUGCGUUUAUUCAUAAACGCAACCUUUACCUCGUGGCCAAACGGGCUCUUCGUCUCUUUUAUUUUAUUUUUAUUAUUAAUAAUGCAUUCUAGAGGGGAAAUGAUGCAAUUAUAUGUUCAUAUUUUGAGGUUCUUCCUAUGUUUGUGUUUGCAAAUUAUGUACUAUUAAAAGCAUUUACUUGCUUAAAAACAAAAAACUACCGUAAAAAGUUAUCUCCUUACAUCAAAACUUAAAUAAUUAUUUUGUAGUUAUAAUAAUAAUAAUAAUAAUAAUAAUAAUAAUAAUAAAAGAAUUCUUAAUUUAUUACUUUGAAAAAAAAAACCUACAUCAAUCAUUUUUAGCAAGUGUAAUAAUUAUUAUUUUUUAAAAGUAUUUUUUAUUUAGAAAUAUAUCAAAAUAAUAUAUAUUUUUUAUUUUUUUUAAAAAAUAUUUUUGAUAUAAAUAUAUUAAAAAAUAUAAAUAAAACUAAAUGAAAUUAAUUUAAAAUAAAAAAUAUAAAAAUUUUAAUUUUUUUAAAAUAUAUUUUUAAAACAUAAAAAUAAACUAGAUUCUAGCAAGCCGCCUGUAAUCCCCGGAAUAUCGACGCGAUGUGCGUAAUUAUAUUGUUAAACAUUCAUAGACAAUUUUAGCCGUCACGGAUCAACACAAAUACAGAUCGUAGAAAUAGUGAUAUUUUGCCUCUUUUUCCGAACUCGCCUUUAGCUUCUUUAAAAUUAUAUUCCAAGUGGACCAACACACACACUAAAAAAAAAGUAAACUGCAUCAGUUGAGACACGAUUUCUUCUGGCGAAGGUAACACUGGAGAUCUUGUAUUCAAAGCUGUGGAAUCAUGAGCCCCCAACCCAUAUGAUCGUAGGAAGGUUUCAUUUGAAAGGGGAAACACCAUACCAUUUUCUAAUUCGCUGUCAAUGGAUAAACUGAUGCUACCACUUUCAUUAUGCCUCUUGCUAUGAAGAGCCCUGUCACCAAUAUCACCUGCCUCUGACACGUUUUCACUCUCAAUAUCAUCAUCUACCUGGAAGGAUCUGCUGCGUGAUAAACUUAAAAAACGUCUUCUCACUGAAGAGACUACGCUGCUAGUUUGACGAAAUGAUUCACUCAGAUUGGGUUCAGACUCAUUGGUUCCACGAUCCAUAACUCAGACUCAGAUAACAGUACUCAAUAAAUUAAAUCAGCAAAAGUCA
rnacentral:lncRNA from 1 species